AAAGAGUCACACAUGACUGAGCGACUUCACUUUAUGUCCACACAGGUGUCCAACAUACGUAUGUGAGUACAUGUGUACGUGCAUUUGAGUUUUUGAAAAUCGAUUACUCCUCUCCCUCUUUACAGCUCAUAAGAGGAGGAAAUCGAGGGCCCUGAAAACCUUAAAAGCUAAUUCACCCCAGAGGCAGAUCUUGAACCCACGAUCUGAUCACUGAGCUGUGUUCACUUCCAUGCCUCCACCUAAUUUCCGAUUGCAACCUAACAUGGGAGCCCAACCUGUCACAUGGAUUACCCAUAUCUUCUCUGUCAUCCUUCAGGUAAGUUAGCUGGUCCCUGUGCUCUGCUUUGAAGCUUGUGUUUUAAUUUGAGAACUAGUCCUGCAAGUACUGAAGCUCAUGUAAGUUACCCUCCAUUAUAAUCCCCAACAAUCAGACAGUAGUCCCGGGACCCAGAGUUUAGCAUGCAGUGACUGGCACACUAUACACAUGGGCCCCAAGGGACAGAGAUUGGGGAAGUC
rnacentral:lncRNA from 1 species